rnacentral:rRNA from 1 species
CGCGUAUGCAACUUGCCCUGCACAGGAGGAUAACCCGUCGAAAGACGGACUAAUACUGCGUACACUCACUGGGAGGCAUCUCUUGGUGAGGAAAGAAAUUCGGUGUAGGAUAGGCAUGCGUCCCAUUAGCUAGUUGGUGAGGUAACGGCUCACCAAGGCGACGAUGGGUAGGGGAACUGAGAGGUUUAUCCCCCACACUGGUACUGAGACACGGACCAGACUCCUACGGGAGGCAGCAGUGAGGAAUAUUGGUCAAUGGGCGCGAGCCUGAACCAGCCAAGUCGCGUGAAGGAUGACUGUCUUAUGGAUUGUAAACUUCUUUUGUAUGGGAAUAACGGGGCGGACGUGUCCGCUUGUGAAUGUACCAUACGAAUAAGCAUCGGCUAACUCCGUGCCAGCAGCCGCGGUAAUACGGAGGAUGCGAGCGUUAUCCGGAUUUAUUGGGUUUAAAGGGUGCGUAGGCGGCUUGUUAAGUCAGCGGUGAAAUCUUGGGGCUUAACCCCGAAACUGCCGUUGAAACUGGCGAGCUUGAGUGUAGAUGAGGUAGGCGGAAUUCGUGGUGUAGCGGUGAAAUGCAUAGAUAUCACGAGGAACUCCGAUUGCGCAGGCAGCUUACUAAGGUACAACUGACGCUGAAGCACGAAAGCGUGGGUAUCAAACAGGAUUAGAUACCCUGGUAGUCCACGCAGUAAACGAUGAUAACUGGGCGUAUGCGAUAUACAGUAUGCUCCUAAGCGAAAGCGUUAAGUUAUCCACCUGGGGAGUAC